AGCGCAGCGCGCGCAGAGCGUCGUCCAGGAAGGAAGCAGCCACCCUCGCCAUGGCCUCCCCGCCCGCCUGCCCCUCGGAGGAGGACGAGAGCCUGAAGGGCUGUGAGCUGUACGUGCAGCUGCACGGGAUCCAGCAGGUCCUCAAAGACUGUAUCGUCCACCUCUGCAUCUCCAAGCCCGAACGCCCCAUGAAGUUCCUCCGGGAGCACUUCGAGAAGCUGGAGAAGUGUUAUUACGAAGAUGCCUUUGGCCUGGAAAGCCUGUCCCGGCCCCACGACCUCGACCGUCCUGCAGCUCAGACAAUGCAUCAGUAUGAAAACAGGAGACAGGAAGUGGGGGCUGCAAAAUGAGAGGCUUUCCCGGAAUCCCAAGAGGGGAAGGGGAAGAGCAGCCUGGCAUGUGCGCAGGCAGAGCCCGUGAGAGGUCACCCCCAUGCAGCCCUGGGGAGGGGCCCUGCUCGCCGACCCCCUUUCUCCCGAAGCCUCCUGAAGCGGCCUGUGUGUAUGGAACUACCUGUAUCCUGCCUAGUCUGAUUCUUCACCUGCCAAAGAUGGGAAGUCCCGUCGAGCCUGGACAGGCAAAGCUCUUUCAGCCAAGAGACUGGGACCCCAGCCUCG
rnacentral:sRNA from 1 species